UACAGAGGUCCCAAGCGUUGUUCGGAUUCACUGGGCGUAAAGGGUGCGUAGGUGGUCGAGUAAGUCUGAUGUGAAAUCUUCGAGCUCAACCCGAAAAUGGCAUUGGAUACUAUUCGGCUGGAGGGUUGGAAGGGGGACUGGAAUUCUCGGUGUAGCAGUGAAAUGCGUAGAUAUCUGGAGGAACACCGGUGGCGAAGGCGGCAUCCUGGACCGAGAUUGACGCUGAGGCGCGAAAGCUAGGGGAGCAAACGGG
rnacentral:rRNA from 1 species